rnacentral:rRNA from 1 species
GAUACCCGCUGAACUUAAGCAUAUCAAUAAGCGGAGGAAAAGAAACCAACCGGGAUUGCCUCAGUAACGGCGAGUGAAGCGGCAAGAGCUCAAAUUUGAAAGCUGGCCCCUCCGGGGUCCGCGUUGUAAUUUGCAGAGGAUGCUUCGGGUGCGGCCCCUGUCUAAGUGCCCUGGAACGGGCCAUCGGAGAGGGUGAGAAUCCCGUCUGGGAUGGGGAGUCCGCGCCCGUGUGAAGCGCCUUCGACGAGUCGAGUUGUUUGGGAAUGCAGCUCUAAAUGGGUGGUAAAUUUCAUCUAAAGCUAAAUACUGGCCGGAGACCGAUAGCGCACAAGUAGAGUGAUCGAAAGAUGAAAAGCACUUUGAAAAGAGAGUUAAAUAGCACGUGAAAUUGUUGAAAGGGAAGCGCUUGCGACCAGACUCGCUCGCGGGGUUCAGCCGGGACUCGUCCCGGUGCACUUCCCCGCGGGCGGGCCAGCGUCGGUUUGGGCGGCCGUUCAAAGGCCCCGGGAAUGUAGCGCCCUUCGGGGCGCCUUAUAGCCCGGGGUGCAAUGCGGCCAGCCCGGACCGAGGAACGCGCUUCGGCACGGACGCUGGCAUAAUGGUCGCAAACGACC